rnacentral:rRNA from 2 species
UCGAACGGUAACAGGUCUUCGGACGCUGACGAGUGGCGAACGGGUGAGUAAUACAUCGGAACGUGCCCAGUCGUGGGGGAUAACUACUCGAAAGAGUAGCUAAUACCGCAUACGAUCUGAGGAUGAAAGCGGGGGACCUUCGGGCCUCGCGCGAUUGGAGCGGCCGAUGGCAGAUUAGGUAGUUGGUGGGAUAAAAGCUUACCAAGCCGACGAUCUGUAGCUGGUCUGAGAGGACGACCAGCCACACUGGGACUGAGACACGGCCCAGACUCC